GUCAGUAGUCCUGGAGACUCAGGAGGCUGAAGUGAGACAAUCACUGGAGUCAAGGAGUUCUGGGCUGUAGUGCACCAUGCUAACUGGGUGUCCAUACUAAGUUCGGCAUCAAUAUGGUUUCAUCCCAGGAGCAGGGAACCACCAGGUUGACUAAGGAGGAGUGAACCAGCCCAGGCCAGAAACGGAACAGGUCAAAACUCCCGUGCUGAUCAGCAGUGGGACUCACCUGUGAAUAGCCACUGCAUUUCAGUCUGGGCAACAUAAUAAGACUCUGUCUCU
rnacentral:SRP_RNA from 1 species